ensembl:lncRNA
GGCAAAUUCACUCUGGAGCCAGAUUUUAAGUUCUCAUCUUAACUCUCCCACUCACUAGCUGUGUGGCCUUGGGAAAGUUCCUUAACUUCUCUGUGCCUCAGUUUCCUUCUAUGAAAAGAAGAAAAUAGCAGUUCCUGCUUCAUAUGGACAUCGUCGGUCACCAUAGAGCUUGAAUGGAGUUCCCUGUGCUAUACGGGGAAGACAGGGAGAUGGAUGUUUCUGUCUGCUUUCUCUGUGCUGAGCCCUGGGAUGAUAACCAGUUCAGAACUAGUCUUUUGUUCACUACCAUCCUGUUGAACCCGUGAAUGUAAGCCCCACUGGACAUCAGAGCCAGAUAUAGGAGAUCUGAGGCAGGAGAAUGGGUGAGAACAGAGGUUUCAGAGCCUGAGAGAUGAGCGAAUCAUGACUGAGAACACUGCCUGGCAUCUUCGCAGCUGCCGCAUGUGAGAAAAGGGUGGAGGGGGAACCAAGAGGUGGGUAACGAACGCGGCCACGGGAGCUUCGCUCUUUGCUCCUGCGUGUUUCCAUAUUCGGGUGAAAACGCACAAUGACGUAGCAGGCUGAUCUGUUUUAGCACCAGAGAUAAAAUGCUCAGAAGAAAGGUUAUCAGCUUGCCUAGUUAUUAAAAAUCCAGCAAGCCGUGGUUGAAAAGGUUUAGCUAAAGCUCGGACUCUUCGGGGGAAACAGCGAUGAACUAUAUUUGCCUCAGGACCUUGUAUGGGCUCCCCUUCAUUGUCAGUGUGCUCACCCCACCAGUGUGACACCCGCUUGCUCCUCUGCCUUUUGCUUCACGGGCUUGUGGCCAGCCUCCAUUCUCAUGAUUAAGCUAUGGACAAAGAGUGUUGUCAGUUGGCACAAAUGAACUUAUCCAAGAAACAGAAGCAGACUCAUAUGCAAGAGAAUAGAACUUGUGGUUGCCAAGGGGGACUGAGGGGCUGGGAGAGAUGGGCUGGGAGUUUGGGAUCAGCAGGUGCAAACGGAUAAGGAACAGGUCCUACCAUAUGCACAGGGAGCUAUUUGGUGUCCUGUAAUAAACCAUAAUGGAAAAGCAUAUGACAAAGGGUAUGUGUAGGUAUAGCUGAGCCAUUUUGUUGUAUACCAGAAACUAAUGCAACCUGUAUACCAGAAUUCCAAUUCAACUCUACUCCAAGAAAAAAGCAACUAAGAAAAAAGAGUGUUGUCAGUUGGAAGCCUGGGAGUAUAUUUUCUUUCUCAGUCUG